ACACUGUUGGAUGCUGGGUCGCAGCCGUGUGGCCUGACUCAUUUAUAAUGUGGUCAGCUCAGGUCUACAGGUGGAAGGUCUUGGGUUUGAUGCCAGAUAUAAUCACGUUGGGCUUGCAAGUUUUUCUUAUCGGAGGCAGACAUGAAGACAGUGUUCAAAAACGUUUGUCUCUACAGCAGGACUGGCAAAUCAGGGUCCCACCAGUGCAUUAGAAGAAUGGUCGGGAUGGUUCCUGGCUGGAGAGUGAGUGGUGAAACUGCAAAAUCAAGUUGGAGCAGGCUCUCGGUGGAAGUCUUUUCUGAUCCCGUCACAGACAGACUGAAGAAAAUAUUAGUAAGUGCCGGCCAACCCCUGCUCCGACCAGAGGGGGAUGCUCUCCCCCUUGCAUCUCAAGGAAGCAUCUCAGGAGGAAUUCUGAUUUAGGACCCUUGGGGGCCUCCUGGGGAACUGGGGAUUUCUAAACCCAGUCUUGGUCUGUGAAGAGCCCCAGAGCAUCUUGUGGGUGGAACCUUAUGAAUAAUUGAUUAGGUUUCCUGUCUUUAUUCAUCAGAACCUAUUCAGGACCAAGACUCGGUAGGCGUCCUCAGUGAGGCAGGAAGACACACGAGAUAGAUAUCAAGCGCUUGGGUGGUGGGAAGCGGGUCAACACCAGAAGUUAAGGGUCCUAACUAGUCUUCCAGCGGAUGAUGAUUGCCAGCUGAGCUGCCAGUGGUGACUGGGGGCCUGAAGGCUCAGGAAGAGAAUCCUGAGCAGAGGGAAGGGCAGAAGGGAAAAGACCUCCGCUAGUGAAUCUGAACAUUUUCCUUGAAGCUCUCAUUGAAAAGUUUCAAUCAGGCUGAAUUUUAUAUUUUUAGGAAGUCCUAUUACCCUGGAGGCAACCCAUGUUGCCUACCGUUCUAUCAAACACUGAUAGAUAGCCAUCUAUCAAGCCAUCAGGCCAUCAGGCACUGCAGCCAUCAAGCCUUCAGGCACUGCAGCUUCCCUGUUGUGUACUCUAAGGGGAAUUCAGAAUGGAUAAAAAACAGGAUAUUGGCCCUAGAUAGUUAAGAUGCAUGUCAAAGGAAUAAUUUCAAUAAUUUCAAUGACGAUUGCAUCAUCCCAUACUUAGGAAAGCACUAAAAUAAUUAACUUGAGAUGUAUGUUUUUCUAUGUUUAGCAGUAAUCUUUUAAUGUUCAAUUAUAUUUUUUUUUCCCCUCCAGAAAAAAUCCCUAUAUAUCCUGGGUCCUGCCUUACUUUCUUUGAAACAGUUCCUCAGAGCUACCUGAGAGUCUGCUUCUCUGGCUGGUCUUCAGUCAAGUCCUUGAAUAAAAUGUGACUCGUAAGUUGUCGGUUGUGUGUG
rnacentral:lncRNA from 1 species